rnacentral:lncRNA from 1 species
CGCUGGUUGUCAUGGCAGCAGAGCUGAUCCAGGAUCAGUUAUCUCUGACCAGGAGAGCUGGUCAAACUGUCUCAUUCAGCUGUGCAGGAACUGACCAGUGUGAUACUUAUGUUUACUGGUACCAGAAAAAAGAGGCAGAAACAUUCACAAUGAUUCUUGAUAUUCGCAGAAAUACUGGUGACAUAGAUAAAAGGUACAACCAUCCUCAGAAAGAUGAUUUCUCAGCUUGGAUGAAACAGAACGGCUGUGAGCUGCAGAUUCAGGAAGUUAAACCCUCUCAUGCAGCCACCUACUACUGCUCCUGUUGGAAGGAUGACUCCCACAGUGAGAAAUGAUCCCUGCAGCCUGAACAAAAACCAACAGAUGUCAAACAGUGUUUGUGACAGGAAGAGAGCAGUAAACCACAGCCCAGGGUCACAUGUUUCUAUACUGUUGUCUGGAUCUACUCUAUAUUUAUUGAUAUUUUUACCACAUAUUUUGGAGGCUUUGUGUUCAUUCCAAGUAGUAAGGAUACAAAAGAAAUACACAAGCACAACAAUAAAUGAAGAUAAAACAAUGAAACUAAAUGCAUAAUAUCACAUCACACAUAACAGCUCUAAAUUUACAAAUAAACAAAGUUAAAAUAACACAAUAAAAGCUGGAUCAGUGACAAACACAAAUUCAAAUCUGAUGAGGCUCCAAACCAGAAUUUGAGAUGAACAUUAACAUGAGUCUGCAGCCAUGCUACAUACUAAUUAAUGUCAUUGGUGCUGCAGGUAUUUGUUGAUAAACCAAAGUGUUGGACACAUUCAAAUGUCGACCUGAUGGUGGCGCUGGAUGAAAAGUCCGAGGGUCAGCAAAGUUAUUACGGUUCAUCCUGAGGGGAACAUGAACGUGUGAAGCAGCUGAAAUAGUUGUUGAGAUGUUUCAGUCUGGACAAUAAAGAGAAGAAAAGCAGAGACAGUCGUGUUGAUCUGAACAUUAGAGAAACACAUGAUGGAGCUGAAACAUGAAACUGGUUCAUAAUCUGGACUGGUUCACCUCAGCUGACACAUUCAGCUGCACCAGGUUUUUGUUGCACUCUCUCUCACUGUGGUACCUCAUCUUUGGCUCUGGGACUAAACUGGUUGUAACAGAUGAGCAGGUAGUGAAGCCUGUGGUGAGCGUGUACCCAGCAGCAUCCAGAGCCCACCUAGAGGGGAAGAGCUCCCUGCUGUGUCUGGCCUCAGCCAUGUUUCCUCCUCUGGUCUGGUUCUCCUGGAAAAGACAGAAGGAGAACGGCCAGCUGGAGGAGCUGCCCCCUGAUGAGAGAGAGCAGCUGGAGCUCAGGGAGUCGGGACGCACCACCGCCAUCCUGCUGGUUGAUCGGGACAGUUUCUACACUUAUAAAUACCGCUGCUACGUGGAGCACGAGGGGGGCAGAGUGGAGGCCCACACAGAACAAGUGGUUCCCCUGGAUCCUUUCCAGUCUCAGUGCAGGGUGAAGCUGCUCUGUCUGCUGUACACAGUGCUGAUAGUGAAGAGUCUGCUGUACUGCUGUGGACUCUCUCUGCUGAAGAGCCUCAGAAACAAGGGACCGUCCACCUGCUGCUCACAUGCUGACUGACUGUUCUGUAUUUCAUGAUAUUUAUAACUUUGCAUAAUCACCAUUUAAGCUGAUAUGGUUUCACUGAUUAUAUGUUUUUAUGUACAUGCUAAAAACAGUCAUGCUAGCAGGAGACUGAAAAGCCCCUUUCAGACAGAAAGUGAAAUAUACUGGACUCACCACAAGACAGUGAUGCUUUAAACAAAAUAGAACAUAAGACAGAGCUGCUUACAUGCUUUCUUUUAUGGGGGGUGGGAGGGCAAACACAGCAUAUAUGCGCAUAUACUAUAUAUUGUCAUUCACUUAGUAACAUUUUGCUAAUAUUAGUUAUUUAUAUUGCCUUGAAAUGUGACUUGUAAAUACUAGAAAAUAACGCUGGAUUGUUAAAUGCUUGGUAGAUAUUUCAUUGGAGUAUUUUUUGUUUGUUUUGUAACAGUUUAAAU